GGGUCAGUAGGUUGGUCGUGCCACCGGUACGUACUGGUCUCACUGAUUCCUCCUUCCUGAAGAACCGUAAUGCCAUUAAUUUGGUGUUACGGGGAAACAGGACUGUUACUUCGAAAAAAUUAGAGUGUUUAAAGCAAGCUAACGCUUGAAUACAUUAGCAUGGAAUAAUGAAAUAGGACGAUCGAUCCUAUUUUGUUGGUUUCUAGGAUUGACGUA
rnacentral:rRNA from 1 species